AACAUAAUAAUUACUUUUCUUUUUCCGAAAUUUUCCAACUACUGAUUAUUUAGAUAGAAUAUUUAUUUUUAUCACGUUUUUUUAGAGAGAAAUUGAUUUUUGUCACGUUUCCAUUUUAAGUCUGAGAAAGCCCACUUGAAAUAAGGCGAAGUUAGUUAUAAGAUGUAUUCCAAAAACAUAUACUUAUUAUAACGACCGAGCUUAUGUGUAUACUUCGUAUAGUGAACUGAUCGAACAAAUACUACAAUUAUUAAACUAUAUAUUGUGUUCAAUAAAACUCCCUUUUAUUUCUUCUUUGUCACACCUCUAGUUCUCAGGUUCAUGAAAAUCUUGAAGUCCAUAAAAAUAAGAAAAAGAAAAAGCUUUAGUCGGUGACAUGUACUGGCCAGCAGGGCUUAGUAAUUGAGUUGAUCAGACGCAAAUGAUGAUGGGACCACAACGUGCAUCGGCCACCAUGUAUUUUUGGUCCAACUAACUGGUUGAUUUGAAGCUGAUAUUAACGAAUACACCAUACGGCCAAAUAAUCGAGACAUUGCUGCAUCUCUUGUUUUCCGACGCCGCUGUCGGCAUCGCCUCUUCUCAACUCCCUUCAUGCUCUCCUCAAAUAUGUGAGCUCGUGCUUUGUGUUUCUUUUCAUUGUCUCGUAGAUUUUUUUCUUUGGUUUAGUAUAGGCAAUGGAGGGUUUGGAGCGAACUGGUCUUCCUGUUCUUCCGAUUGUGAAACCUUCAUCUGCAAUGGAGGUUCUGGUCUCCUCUAUAUAUCGAGUUCAAGCUUCUGGAUCUGAAACUGUCUCUGGAACUAACCAGAAAAUCAUUGGAAAAUCCAGCGCUUGCUAUCAUUGUCUUCUCUUAUGAAUAACAAACAACUCGUCGUUCCAUCAGACGGUGUUUGGUGGUCGAUCGAUAAUGCCUAAACCUUUUCGUUCUAGCUGUCGGAGAAGAUCUUUGAUGGUGUACCAAACAUACGGAGCAUUUGAUGGCACCAUAAAAUCAUGAUUAACUCCUUCAACAUGUGUUGGAGCCAGGGGCGAAUCUAGAAUAAUUUUUCAGUGGGUGCAAAAUAGAAAAAAGAACAAAGGGGGAAUCGAACUUGAGACUUGAAGGGGGUGCACAACACUACUAAACCAUCUGAUCUAGCUGGUUUCUUUGUAUUUUUACAUACAAAACGGUAAAUAUUUAUAAAUUUACGGGUGCACGUGCCACCAUAGUCUUGGCACUGGCUUCGCCCCUGGUUGGAGCUGUCUCCAGUGGCGGAGGAGGAGACAUUUCUAUGGUGGAGGUUUCGUCUAUAAUACUCACUUAGAUUGACUCUCAGGGACGAUUUCAGGUGCAGAUGGGUUACCCAAACUAGAUGCAUGUAGUAAUCAAUUUCCUAUUAAUUUGUUCCCCAUAUAAGUAUGGUGGAGUGGUUUCCAGUACCUUCACUUUUGACCUAAACAAUGUCUUGUUUCUUGGGUAUGGUUGGAUAAUGGGAAGAAACUACCGAUGAAAAUCAAACCAAUAUGUCUUCCUUCAACUAAAAUGUGUAAAUCAUUCCCAUGCAAUAAGGACAAGAUAACCUCUCAUAGAUUGUCCAUCCUGAUAGCAUCCCCUAUGCAAGAAAGUUACUGAUGGUUCACAGAAGAAUUGAUCGCAUAGUAAGGUUUCUUCUCAAAAACAAUCAUACAAGUGCACCCAUGUUGACCAUAAUUUAUUAAAUUCCUUUAUCGAAGGUUGUAUAAAAAUAUCAAGUGACGGCUUUGGAUGAUUAAGUCCAAGGAUUAAUAUAUUCAUGAAUAUAAAUUUUCUUUUCA